rnacentral:lncRNA from 1 species
AUGGAAAUGGUUCAGCAGGAUGAGGUCCCUGGCGCUACCUCUUCUGCCACAAACGUCAGCAUGGUGGUAUCUGCCGACCUUUUGUCCGGCGAGAGGGCAGAGAUGAACAUCCUAGAAAUCAACAAGGAAUUGCGCUCCCAGCUGGCAGAGAGCAAUCAGCAGUUCCGAGACCUCAAAGAGAAAUUCCUUAUAACUCAAGCUACUGCCUACUCCCUGGCCAACCAGCUGAAGAAAUACAGCAAUAUAAAGCCCUGGUUCACUCUCAGGCACGAGAGCUGACCCAGUUACGGGAGAAGUUACAGGAAGGGAGAGAUGCCUCCCGCUCACUGAAUCAGCAUUUCAAGGCCCUCCUCGCUCCUGAUGACCUUGAAAAGUCCCAGGGUCAGGACCUCCGAGAGCAGCUGGCUGAGGGGCACAGGCUGGCAGAGCACCUUGUUCACAAGCUGAGCCCAGGUGAGGUGGCCAUGGGCCCUGAUGACACACAGCUCUAGGCUUAUGGAAGUCCCCAGACCUCCACACCUCCACAAUGACAACUUUAUGGGUAGUGUAUCUUUCCAGUAAACAUUUGUGGCCAUGACAUGACCAGGACUUCCUGAGUAGAAAUAGAGAUGGGAAACCCAUGGGGUUGGAGGUCACAGUAUUGCAAAGGUCUUCUCCUUUCUUGAUGGAACAUGGUCUUUGGAGCAAGAGGCAGCAUUUGUCCAGUUUUAAAGGACAGGAAGGAGGCUGUGACAGGAGGCAGCUUGUUAGAGUGAAAAGAGACCCAGACUAAGAAUGAAGGUUCCCAGGCUCUAUCUUCAGCAAUGUCUUUAGCAACUGUGGGCAACUGAUUAAUUUAUCCUUCCUGGGUUUCUAUGUCUGAUUCUGUGAAGGCAAACAAAUU